GACGAACCGUGCGAACGUUGUUCGGAUUCACUGGGCUUAAAGGGCGCGUAGGCGGGCGGCCAAGUCAGGGGUGAAAGCCCCCAGCUCAACUGGGGAAGUGCCUCUGAUACUGGUCAUCUCGAGGGAGAUAGGGGCGUGCGGAACUUCCGGUGGAGCGGUGAAGUGCGUAGAUAUCGGAAGGAACACCGGUGGCGAAAGCGGCGCGCUGGAUCUCUUCUGACGCUGAGGCGCGAAAGCCAGGGGAGCGAACGGG
rnacentral:rRNA from 1 species